rnacentral:rRNA from 1 species
GAUGAACGCUGGCGGCGUGCCUAAUACAUGCAAGUCGAGCGAACAGACGAGGAGCUUGCUCCUCUGACGUUAGCGGCGGACGGGUGAGUAACACGUGGAUAACCUACCUAUAAGACUGGGAUAACUUCGGGAAACCGGAGCUAAUACCGGAUAAUAUAUUGAACCGCAUGGUUCAAUAGUGAAAGACGGUUUUGCUGUCACUUAUAGAUGGAUCCGCGCCGCAUUAGCUAGUUGGUAAGGUAACGGCUUACCAAGGCAACGAUGCGUAGCCGACCUGAGAGGGUGAUCCGCCACACUGGAACUGAGACACGGUCCAGACUCCUACGGGAGGCAGCAGUAGGGAAUCGUCCGCAAUGGGCGAGAGCCUGACGGAGCAACGCCGCGUGAGUGACGAAGGUCGUCGGAUCGUAAAGCUCGGUUAUUAGGGAAGAACAAAUGUGUAAGUAACUAUGCACGUCUUGACGGUACCUAAUCAGAAAGCCACGGCUAACUACGUG